GACGAACGCUGGCGGCGUGCUUAACACAUGCAAGUCGAACGGAAAGGCCCUGCUUUUGUGGGGUGCUCGAGUGGCGAACGGGUGAGUAACACGUGAGUAACCUGCCCUUGACUUUGGGAUAACUUCAGGAAACUGGGGCUAAUACCGGAUAGGAGCUCCUGCUGCAUGGUGGGGGUUGGAAAGUUUCGGCGGUUGGGGAUGGACUCGCGGCUUAUCAGCUUGUUGGUGGGGUAGUGGCUUACCAAGGCUUUGACGGGUAGCCGGCCUGAGAGGGUGACCGGCCACCUUGGGGCUGGGGAACCGGCCCGGAUCCUACGGGGGGCAAGAGUGGGGAAUAUUGCAACAAGGGGCGAAGCCUGAUGCAGGAACGCCGGGGGCGGGAUGGAGGCCCUCGGGGUGUAAACCGCUUUCGCCUGUGACGAAGCGUGAGUGACGGUAAUGGGUAAAGAAGCACCGGCUAACUACGUG
rnacentral:rRNA from 1 species